rnacentral:lncRNA from 1 species
GUAACAUUUACAAUCCACUUCUAUGCAAGGCAGUCUUGUGCUAAAGAAUUGCUAAAAGAGACAGUGCCUUUUGAAUGCACCAUAUGUGUUAUUCAAAAGCAGUGGCAAGUCGAAGCUCCUAUCUUAAUCCUCGCUUGUUAUUAUGCUUUUUCUUUACAUGCUUGGAAAUUACCCUUGUUGUUUAAGGAAGCCUGGAUCCAACUUUUGAAGGAUAAGAGAUUUCACAGAUCAUUGAUUACAAAGGCAAUAGCCAACACCAACACCCCAGACAUGAGAGGGAUGCUACCUUCGAUGCAGCCUCCCUGCCCGGCCCCAGUCAAGCCACCGAUGACUGCUACUACCUGAGCAAGCCCAGGAGUGGGACUGGUGGCUCUGUAAGAAGAGGAGGAGGCACCUGAGCUGGCACACUCAGCUCCUUCACCAUGUGAUGCCCUGCACCACCUCAAGACUGCAGAGUCCUUACCAACAAGACGGCACUCACCAAAUGCAGCCCUUAGACCCUGGACUUCUCAGUCUUUUUAACUGUAAGAAAUAAAUUCCUUUUCUUUAUAAAUUACCCCAUGUUUCAG